AUUGAACGCUGGCGGCAUGCCUUACACAUGCAAGUCGAACGGUAACAGGUCUUCGGAUGCUGACGAGUGGCGAACGGGUGAGUAAUACAUCGGAACGUGCCCGAUCGUGGGGGAUAACGAGGCGAAAGCUUUGCUAAUACCGCAUACGAUCUACGGAUGAAAGCGGGGGAUCUUCGGACCUCGCGCGGACGGAGCGGCCGAUGGCAGAUUAGGUAGUUGGUGGGAUAAAAGCUUACCAAGCCGACGAUCUGUAGCUGGUCUGAGAGGAUGAUCAGCCACACUGGGACUGAGACACGGCCCAGACUCCUACGGGAGGCAGCAGUGGGGAAUUUUGGACAAUGGGCGAAAGCCUGAUCCAGCCAUGCCGCGUGCAGGAUGAAGGCCUUCGGGUUGUAAACUGCUUUUGUACGGAGCGAAAAGCCUCUUUCUAAUAAAGAGGGGUCAUGACGGUACCGUAAGAAUAAGCACCGGCUAACUACGU
rnacentral:rRNA from 1 species